rnacentral:rRNA from 1 species
AUUGAACGCUGGCGGCAGGCCUAACACAUGCAAGUCGAACGAGUGGCGGACGGGUGAGUAAUGUCUGGGAAACUGCCUGAUGGAGGGGGAUAACUACUGGAAACGGUAGCUAAUACCGCAUACCAUCGGAUGUGCCCAGAUGGGAUUAGCUAGUAGGUGGGGUAAAGGCUCACCUAGGCGACGAUCCCUAGCUGGUCUGAGAGGAUGACCAGCCACACUGGAACUGAUACACGCCCCAGACUCCUACGGGAGGAAGCAGUGGUGAAUAUUGCAAAAUGGGCGAAAGCCUGAUGCACCAAUGCCGCGUGUAUGAAGAAGGCCUUCGGGUUGUAAAGUACUUUCAGCAGGGAGGCGUUACCCACAGAAGAAGCACCGGCUAACUCCGUGCCAGCAGCCGCGGUAAUUC